ACGUAGGGAGCAAGCGUUGUUCGGAUUUACUGGGCGUAAAGGGCGCGUAGGCGGCGUGUCAAGUCGAUUGUGAAAUCUCCGGGCUUAACUCGGAACGGCCAAUCGAUACUGACGUGCUAGAGUGCAGAAAGGGCAAUCGGAAUUCUUGGUGUAGCGGUGAAAUGCGUAGAUAUUCGGAAGAACACCAGUGGCGAAGGCGACUGACUGGACAAGUAUUGACGCUGAGGUGCGAAAGCGUGGGGAGCAAACAGGA
rnacentral:rRNA from 1 species